UACGAAGGGGGCUAGCGUUGCUCGGAAUCACUGGGCGUAAAGGGUGCGUAGGCGGGUCUUUAAGUCAGGGGUGAAAUCCUGGAGCUCAACUCCAGAACUGCCUUUGAUACUGAAGAUCUUGAGUUCGGGAGAGGUGAGUGGAACUGCGAGUGUAGAGGUGAAAUUCGUAGAUAUUCGCAAGAACACCAGUGGCGAAGGCGGCUCACUGGCCCGAUACUGACGCUGAGGCACGAAAGCGUGGGGGAGCAAAGCAGGG
rnacentral:rRNA from 1 species